ensembl:lncRNA
CCUACGUCGGCCUAGCAGGCGAGCUAAGUAGGUUGCUAGCGGCUAACUCAAGGAGGACCGAAUCGACCCACACCCUACAAGCAACCUCGUGUGUUCAUGAUUAGGAGACGCAGUAUGGGAAAAGAGCUCAACCUGCAGAGAAUUUGGAGGUGGAAGACCCAAUCCCAGCAAAAAGUGGUGACACCUCGGUGACAUACACGGGACUUCCAUGUGGAAUGAGUUGGUUUUGUGCCCUUAAUGACACAGACUGACAACAGGAGUCUCAGAAGAUCCAGGGGACUCCACUUGGUUUUUUGAGUUAUUUUCCUAGUAAAUAAAAGGCUAGACAUUUUUUUUUUAUUUUUUUUUAAAUGAUUUUUAUUUUCUUUUUAAUAGCAGCUUUUUUUUUGAAAACAAAUCCCAGCUGGACUUUAGUUUGAUGUUAAACGGCUUCCCACAACUGGUUUAAAACUGAAUUUGUUUGUUUAGUUGUUUUCCCCUGUGGACUAAGUUUGAAAUGCUGGAACUCUCCCUCCUGCCACUAUCCUCAGUUUCUUCCACCCACCCAGUGCCUAAAUAAGCCUUCUCGGGAGGAUCACAGAAGUCAUCAGCAGCUGCUGCGCUCAAUCCUCUGCCUGUUCUCCUCCAUGUGCUUCUGCUCUCGGCCUGUUGACUGUACACCCACUACCUCUUUAAUUUUUCUGGUCUUUUCAUUUUCACUGAGCGGGAUAAUCAGAACUGAAGCCCAGUGAUGGAGCAUUAAUGUAAACCCUGAGCUGUUCCAGUGUUUUGUGCGUGAGUGCUGGUCCUUUCGCGUAUAUGCACAGCAGUGUUACGUUUGCACUGGUGCCAGGGAGUAACAGUAGAAGAUUAGAUUUAUUUAUAUUGUUGCACCAAAUACAGUUCCAUUAAAGCCAUACAAAAAUAUUUAUGAAUUACCUAUACAUAUUUUUGUAUCACACUGCUCUUGUAUAGUUUUGCUUUUAUAAGCUUCUAUUAAGAUUAUGCACACAAAUAUUUA